rnacentral:rRNA from 1 species
AGCAGCUUGCUGCUUCGCUGACGAGUGGCGGACGGGUGAGUAAUGUCUGGGAAACUGCCUGAUGGAGGGGGAUAACUACUGGAAACGGUAGCUAAUACCGCAUAAUGUCGCAAGACCAAAGAGGGGGACCUUCGGGCCUCUUGCCAUCGGAUGUGCCCAGAUGGGAUUAGCUAGUAGGUGGGGUAACGGCUCACCUAGGCGACGAUCCCUAGCUGGUCUGAGAGGAUGACCAGCCACACUGGAACUGAGACACGGUCCAGACUCCUACGGGAGGCAGCAGUGGGGAAUAUUGCACAAUGGGCGCAAGCCUGAUGCAGCCAUGCCGCGUGUAUGAAGAAGGCCUUCGGGUUGUAAAGUACUUUCAGCGGGGAGGAAGGCGAUAAGGUUAAUAACCUUGUCGAUUGACGUUACCCGCAGAAGAAGCACCGGCUAACUCCGUGCCAGCAGCCGCGGUAAUACGGAGGGUGCAAGCGUUAAUCGGAAUUACUGGGCGUAAAGCGCGCGCAGGCGGUCUGUCAAGUCGGAUGUGAAAUCCCCGGGCUCAACCUGGGAACUGCAUUCGAAACUGGCAGGCUAGAGUCUUGUAGAGGGGGGUAGAAUUCCAGGUGUAGCGGUGAAAUGCGUAGAGAUCUGGAGG